ACCAUGUUCUGACCAAUGAAAAGUAAGCAGAAUUCUCUUGGGGAACUUGGGGAGAGUAAAGCUGAAGAUAAAAGCUCCCGAUGCUAUUCUUUCUCUUUAACUUAAACAGAGAAGUCACCUUGUGACCAAGAGGUAACAAGCCUGACAGCAAAAAGCCAAGACGCUUAGGAAGUGAGAGGGCAAAUGAAGAGAACCGUGUCUUUGAUGGCAUCACUGAGCUAUGGGAACAACUCCAGGACCACCUACAUCCAGACUACUGGUUAGGUAAACAAUAAAUGUCUUUAUGGCUUAAGUCCCUGUUACUUGCCACCAUAAGCAUUCUUCAGCAAUCCAGAAAGUGACGUCUGGGAUGCAGGUAAGAGAAAUCUGCCCGCAGCAAUGGCUGGUUUAUUCUUUUGAAGCUGUGCCCCAUAGACUAAAGAGGGGAAAGCACAGUGCUUUAUUUAUUUAAAUAUAAUUUACUGUCAACUUGGCUAACAUACAGUGUGCUCUUAGUUUUGGGGGUAGAUCCCCAUGAUUCAUCCCUUACAUACAACACUGUGCUUUCUGAUGUCUGGGAGCUAUUGCAGCCGCUUCCUUGAGAAUGGCACCCGGGGCUCAGGACAAUGAUAUUAAUGAUAGUUAAUAAACAGAGCAAGAACACAAACAGUUGGCUCUUAGAGUUCAGUGAAACACAGUGUAAGUAUAAGGCAGACAGUAGGAGAGCAAAAACAUGGUUUUUUUUUUUCCACAUCCCGUGUUUCCCUCUAUGGUUUAGUCUGUCCACACUCAUGGGUUUAGAAGUAUGUCCCCCAGCUCAAAGUCUGGAUGGUUUCUCUCUUGAGGAGCAUGCCCAUUUGUAUUUCAAAUUUGCAUUGGUGUAUUGGAGGGAUCUAUGGGCGGGGGCAGAGGUCUGCCAGGGGAUAACUAGUAUAUGACUGUGUGGGGUGGGUUACUUUCUCCCUUAGGAAGUUCACGACCAAGGUGGAUCUCCACUGUGCAACAGAGUUCCUAAUAACGUAAACCGCCAGCUGACCAGAUUGGCUAAGUGGUGUCCUGUCCCUACCUGGCUUGAUUACCAAACUAGCUGGAUGUUUAGGAGGGAGGUAUAUGUGUUUCUUUCCAGAAAACAUUCCUAUGCAGAGCACAGCCAGACUGGCCUCAAAAGUGAGCUGACAAACUAGAAAAACUGGGUUUAUUAUACUUCGGAGUUGUUCCUUAAAUGAUAACCGUGACUAACAGGCAUCAGUUGGCUUUUUCUGGUUUAACUGAAAAGCAAAUGGUAUAUUAAGCUUAACUUUGUUGUAUUUUUCUUCUUAUGCUAGAGAUUUAAGCUCCCUCAUUUCUGGUCUAUUAUUUUGUAAAUACCAAUCAAUCUAUCUGUUUUUGCUUGAAACUUGAUUUCUUCAAGUACACUCAUUCAGCAGGUAUAUAUUGUGUGUCUUCAUAUGAGUGAGAGAGUCUAGGUGUGUGGGUGUAAGAGAGACAGAAGGAGGGGGGCGGUGGGGAGUAUGCGAGGGAGAGAGAGGAUGAGCACAGCAUCCUUUCAGGAGCCCUGUAUCCAGAAAUGAAAACCAUGAAUGGGCUCUAGUGCAUGAAACUGAGGUUCAAUUGGAUUAGGAAAAGUACUCUAAAAACACUGAAAGGCUCUGUUGCCAGGCACACUGCUGGCUGGAGAAUGCGGAACAAAGAUAAAAUUGUCAGAACAUCCUGUCUCCACCUACACCAGGAAGGUCAAGUCUAAGAUGCUUGUCCAAGGGCUCAGGCAAUCAGAAGAUUGGAAGCAACGUAUUAAUAAGAGAACAUGCCCCGAAGCUCUGGCCCAUGAAAACAGCUCCUGAAUCACAAUGUAGCCACAACCUGAAGUUCACCAUGGACAGAAAGAACCAGCUAUGCCUGCCACCUGAAAAAGAUGGA